rnacentral:rRNA from 1 species
UACGUAGGGUGCAAGCGUUAAUCGAAAUUACUGGGCGUAAAGCGUGCGCAGGCGGUUUUGUAAGUCUGUCGUGAAAUCCCCGGGCUCAACCUGGGAAUUGCGAUGGAGACUGCAAGGCUAGAAUCUGGCAGAGGGGGGUAGAAUUCCACGUGUAGCAGUGAAAUGCGGUAGAGAUGUGGAGGAACACCGAUGGCGAAGGCAGCCCCUGGGUCAAGAU